CGUCCCCUCACACUGGUCAAUUUCAAGGUCAGAGCCAUCUUUGCAAUGCUCUCAAAAACCCUUACCACUUUGGCUGCAGAUGAGUGCAGUUGGUAAAGAGCCUGCCUGCUGUGUACAAAGCCCCGAGUCCUAGCCUGGGCUCCGUAUAAACCUGAUAUGGUGGCAUAUGACUGUCAACCCAUAAUCCAGGAGGGCAAGGCUGUAAGAUCAAGGUCAGCCUUGGCUGCAUGACACCCCUAUCCUGGGGUGACUCUGAUGCUCUCCCUCUAAUUUCCCCUCUCCACAGGUAGUAGAAAAAUAAAGCAACCUCGUUUUGUGAAACCCUGGGAGCACCAGUCACAUGUAGCCAUCCCUCUCUGGUCCCGAGUCUGCAGUCAUGGAGCUAAGGUGUUUUGACAUUGUUGUGCCUUGGAGUCAUCAUUUGAGCUAACAUUUCUGUUCUCUCUGGGGUGAAAUGGCCCACCCAGCCCUGCAGGGCAGCCUUUUUCUCCAGGGUUGGGCUGGCCACUCGGCUGGGAUAACAGAAUGCCCUGUUGUGUGAAUGAUGAAGGUGUGGCAUGCCCAGCAGUGAAGGGUUUCUGCACGUGGAGUUUGAUAUCUGUGACCAGAGUUACCACCAGAGUCUUGGAAAGUGCUGUCUGGAUGACCCCGUGUGCCUGUCGCUCUCACACGAGGUUCGGAAAGAUCAGUCACAGAUGCGCUCAAAUCACCUCUGCUUAGGAUCUGCAAAACAGUGAUGCCAAACUGCAGUGCCACACAGAGGUACGGAUGUCCUGGCAAGAGACCAGCAAGGUAGGAUGCAGACAUGGCCCCCUUCUUCCUCGCACAGCCACCCGGCUGACGUCAUCAAACAUGCUGCUGUAAGAAAAUGUGUGAGGGCUGCCAUUCUCCACCUCCUCGGAAACUAGAACCUUACAUGGAGUUUCAUCCAAGGCCCUGUGUACAUUUCCCAUGUGUUCCUGACCCCGCUGUUUACUGGGCUCUCCUGCAAGUCUGGCAGUCAGAAGUCUGAGAACAAAGCCAUCACAGCAGGCCUUGCCCCUUGAGAGCCAGGUAAUGCCUUCCUGGCCUUCUUCCAACGUCUUCAGCCCUUGCCUCUCGGGGUUUGUACAAGUUCUACUCUCAUCCUGGCUACCAACUUCAUGCUUGAGUCUCUGUCCCAAUGGAACGAAUGUUUUCCCUUCUCUGAUGACAGACCUGUGGACCAAGGUUUGCAUGUCAUCUCGGUGUGACCUCGUCUAAUUCACUUUUGCAUGGAGUUUAUUUCCCGACAGGCACGGGUUUCGAGUUUCAGGCCUUUGGCUUGUCGCCUUUUGGGUCAAGCAAUUCAAUCUCCACAGUACCCUAGCUAUAGGACUCUACUUAGCAAGAAGCUCCACCCAAGGCAUCCUUCCCAUAAGAUUUCUGAUCAUAGUUCAUGCUAGGCCAGGUUUACUCUAUCAAGAAGGUUAUUAAAGGACAAUGCUUUGGUCCAAUGAUACAGCCAGGGUCACUUUUACCAUUAGGAAGUACAGAUUUUAAAUGUCUGUGAGCUUAUUUUUAUCUGGAAGGAAAUGCACCUGACUGCUGUGCUCCUUCAUUGAUGGUUUCUUUUUUGGGGGAAGGUGGUUAGAAAACCGCACUGGGCUUUGAGCUGACUCGGGGUUGAGCACCACAUAAGCCUAGGUUAUAAUUAUGCUACCCUCUGCAAUAGAUUUCCCCAAAACGGCCUGCCCGCUCCUUAGAAUGUGAAGCAUUUUAAAUAACGGUCCCAUUCGUCAUUCACAGUGUGACAGCCCGGCGAUUGCCUUUUAUUUAAGUGAAAGGUCAAGAGGUUUUGAUUUAAACAGGGGUUGGAUCAAGGAUGGCAUGUCUACAGCAGUGACAUUCUGUGAAUGAUGGAAGACAGACACGCUGAGUCCUGGCCGCACGCUGUAACUGCAGAAACCGAGCGUCCUCCCCUUCUGGGGGAGGGAAACAGUCCAGCCCACACUCUACCUGCAUGCUCAUAGCUGUAGAAAGCCAGUCUAUACCUUGGGAGAUUCAGUUCUUUACAGAAGACUGUGUCUUCCGGCAAGGGGGGGUCAGGUGUCAGGGGAAGAGGGCUCCCAUCCUAAUGCAUGCUGGUAGGGAGAACAAAACACUAGAAGUCAUGGUACUUUCCGGCUGAGACAUGCUGGUCUGGUCGUGUGGAAGGAAUAGGAGGCUAUUCAUCCUCUGAAAGGCAGCCACCCAGGAGAGCCGUUUAGCCUCCUUGUUGUAACUGCCUUGAGGGGUCUCCAUCUAACAGAGUGUCUCUUCUUACAGUGAAGAGCAUUACAUGCUCACAUCCCCCUCCGUGGGAGCUAGCCUGGAGCUCAGAGGAGUCCACUGAACUUAGCUUCAGUCAGAAGCUUGGAUUUUCUUCCAACUGUGCUUUAUAAGGCUACCAUGACUCAGCCUGCCACAUUGAUAAGGGAAGGAAGGACUCAGGUCCCCCUGUCAGGUGCCUGCUACAUUCCUCCUCAUUCAAUUCUGACAAGCAUGGGAAGUGACCAUGCCCAUUAAGGUGCUUCUGCCGAGAGGUGAAGCGAUGUCCCUGAGUGCUCAGGGUGAGAGACUAUGGUUUGUCACUGGCCACUGGAGCAUUCCAGGACGGGGACUCUCAAGAGCUGGCCUCUGUUAAUCUCCUCUUCCUGACUCCCAGAUCAGCAGGAGUGGGCCUCCUCUCUGUUACUUUGUUACUGGGCAAGAACUCAUUAAAAAAAAAACUUCCUGCAUGGGGGCCCAACCCCAGUUAUGCCUAUCCCCCAGUUAAUGCAGUCUCCACUAUUGGCUCCGAGCUGACUCUGUAUAUUCCAGCUCCUGGGGCUAUUGGGAGCUGUCUGUGUUUGGACCGCUGGGCCAAGAUUCAGAAAGACAGACAGCCUCUGGUGCUGGUGUAUCCUGCAGUUUUAGUGCUUCCAAGAUUGAUCAGGUAACCGCACUCCUUUGAAAGACACCUAUGAAUGAGCCGCUGUGUCCCCGUAGGACAAGAGGGUGUCCUUUUAAGUGUCUGCUGUCAUCUGACUCUGUGCAUGGACACAAAUGUUCUGGGGAAGACUGUGUCUGGGCAGGGAGACUUGGAAAAUUAAGUUCCCUCCAAGAGAGAUGUUGAGGAGCUGGUUCAAGCUACAGGAAGUGUUGCUUGCCUCUUGUUCCCUGGGUAGUGGCGUGGUAGGGUGAGAGCUUAUCUGGGGAAAUGGAAAUGAAAGCCAGACUGUUGGUUUACAUGUGAACAGGAGUCCCAGGCAUGACUGGCCUGAGAAAGUCAAUCAUUACCAUCCUAAAAGGCCUUGCUGGUGUCAACUGGAGAGCAGACAAAAACCCAAAAAUUAGCGCUCCUGUGUAACUUUUGUUGUGCUGUGUCUAAGUCAGGGUUUCUAUUCCUGCACAAACACCAUGACCAAGAAGCAAGCUGAGGAAGAAAGGGUUUAUUCAGCUUACACUUCCACAUUGCUGUUCAUCACCAAAGGAAGUCAGGACUGGAACUCAAGCAGGGCAGGAAGCAGGAGCUGAUGCAGAGACCAUGGAGGGAUGUUACUUACUGGCUUGCUCCUCCUGGCUUGCUCAGCUUGUUCUCUUAUAAAACCCAAGACUACCAGCCUAGGGGCGGCACCACCCACAGUGGGCCCUCCCCACUUUAUCAGUAAUUGAGAAAAUGCCUUACAGCUGGAUCUCAUGGAGGCAUUUCCUCAAGGGAGACUCCUUUCUCUGUGAUAACUCCAGCUUGUGUCAAGUUGACACACAGAACCAGCCAGUGCACGAUGUCUGUGUUAAGUGGUCAAAGUGGCUGAGGAGAAGAGGUCAGUGAAGAUUUGGGGGAGGGGUUGUCUGUGAUUCUGGCUGAGGUAGGAGCUGGUACCUUUGUCUGCUAAGGACAUGGUAAAUCAUUUUUAUGUCCCAGAAUUGAAGGAGUUCUUUGGAUCAUGAGAACUGUUCACAAUCAUGGUUAGAUCUCAGAGAGAGAGAGAGAGAGAGAGAGAGAGAGAGAGAGAGAGAGAGAGAGAGAGAGAGAGAGAGAGAGAGACAUAAUGAUCCUUUGAGGACCCCAUCCUUUGGCUUGUAGGCCCAAGGACAAUGCUUGUCCAGCUCACAUGGGACUUGGGCACACAUCUGGAGAAAACAUCGGUCUUCAUACUUUCUGGAUUUGUAAAGUUGGAUAAUGGGGCACUGUGAAGACACACACAGGUGAUAGCAUGGGUGAUCAACAUUGCAGCCUUCAGUGUGGAGGAAGCUCAAUUUUACCCACCAGUCACUGUUGUAGUGAGGAGACUUUAGGAGGUUAAUUAUGGCUACAGUAGCCAGGGGUGUUCUGACUUUAUUCUGAUGAAACACAGGAUGUGCAGUCAUGUCUUCGUGUGUGUGUGUGUGUGUGUGUGUGUGUGUGUGUCUGUCUGUCUGUCUGUCUGUCUGUCUGUCUGUCUGUUGUUCUCCCAUUGCAGAGAGCUGAGCAUCUGGUAUGCUGCUUCAAGAGUUUAUUUACAUCCUCUCUGGCUGCAUAUAGACAGAAGUCACCAAGCCCUGAUCUCCGGGAACUUAGGGACACUGAGUGUCUCUGCUCAUCUUUGCUCCUUCAACCUUCAUCAGAGAAGCAGAGGUCUCGUGCCCCACAGGCCAUGGGGAGAAUGUUUUGUGGAGAAGAAUGGAGUAAAGACCAGCUAACCCAGCCUUCGAGCUUAGCUCAAGGCUCCUGCAACUUCCACCUAAGUGUUUAAGGCAUUUCUAAAAUCCAACUGGGGGCUCGCAGGGCUGAGCCCAGAGGCUAAGCGAGGACUGCGUACCUCUGUGUAUAGAUCCCAGAGACAAAUUGACCUUGGCCAACAGGAAUGUUACCACCAUAAGCUCUGGAAAGCUACAAGUGCCAAGUCCAAACCACACAGGGCUCUCUCUAGCUCUUUAACAGCAAGUCACCUACCUAACAUCCUCAUGAUGAGCUGAUCGACUUCUUGGAAUGCGCCCUUAGGCUAAGCCGACCUCUAGUUUCCACCAAAGUGGAAACUACUGAAGCUACUGCCACCAAGUGCUCCUGAAGCCCACAGAAGAGACUUUUCCACUCCACUGCCACACACCUCACUGAUGUUCCUACCCACGUAAGUGGACAAUGUAUUGAUGUGACAUUUUCCCUUGUGGCUCUUAAAACUUCUUUAUCACUUCUUCUAUUGUGGAUCCUGUCAUUCAGGGUAACCCGAAUCUGUUCUGAGGGGGCAUAGUCGCUCUUGUUUGGCUUGCAGCAAACGGCUCUUUAUUUCCCUUAAGGCAGAGUUGCUGUCUUACGACGAUGGGGCCCACAAGUAGCUCCCUGCUUAGCUGCUGGUUCCAGGGAAUUUUAUGGAUUGCUUUUGAGUUUCUUGGAUGACAUAAUCUUUCAGGACCAGACAUCUCCAGGGAAAGACUAUUUGUUGGCUCCUCCCACCAUGUCUGGGUAUGUCCAGAUACAUCUAAACCAUGCCUUUCUUGGGUUAGCCUGUGGUGAAGAUGUUUAUGAACAGUCUCUUUCUUGGGUUAGCCUGUGGUGAGUGCAGAACAGUGAAAUACAGCCUCAGCUGACAACGUUUCCGGGUUACAUUUUGUCCUGUGCUCUUCUGUGCCCUACGAAGAGACCGUGCUCCUAUCCAUCCCAAAUCUCCCACCCAUGAAGACACCCACGAUGGUCCCUCCUUACUCUCAGCCAGACACAACCAGGGUCAGCUGGAGAGGGAGAGUUGAUGAGAGACCGUCUAGAUCUGACUAGCUUGUGCACAUGCCUGUGAGGAAUUGUCUUGAUUGCUAACUGCCGUGGGAAGGGUCGGCACACCGGGGGUGACAUCAUUCUCUACGUGGAGAGUCCCAGACUGUGUGGACAGUGCACACAUCAGAUGCACAUGUGUUUAUUCCUCCUGCUCUUGGCCAUGAAUCUGACUACUUCUCUCACAUCCCUGUUGUCUGAACUUCCCUACAAUGGAAGGGAUGGACUGGAACCCAGAACUGUAACUAUAAACUAAAUCCUCCCCCUCUUCUUUUUUCAUUGCUUGCUUUCUUUUCAGUUUUUUUUGUUUUGUUUUUUGUUGUUGUUGUUGUUUUUUUUUUUGUAUUUUUUUCCCCACAGCAACAAAAACGAACCAGGCCAGUGACCUUAUCUGGAAACAGGGUCAUUGCAGAUAGAGUUAAACAGAUUUCGUGAUAGAACCGGGUGGGCUCUGAAUCCAACAGUAUUGAUGUCUAUGGGAAGAGACGUCGUGUGAAGCCAGACGUGCACAGAGAGCUGUGAAGAUGAAGUUUCCUCCUGAGAAUCACCUCCUAUAAUUCAGAAGGACUGGAUAAGAGGGUCCUGCAGCACUGAGAAACCGGAUGAAGCAAGAGAGGGGGACGCCUUUCCAAGACUGGGUACAUUUCUGCUGAUGCUUCCAGUCCUCAGACAGUAAAGAAUAGAUUUCUGGAGGAAACCCUGACUUGUUGCUAUGGCAGCCUUAGGAGGUUAAGAUGCCGUUUAGUGAGCCCAGUCCCCUGCCUGGUUGACUCUUAUCUCAACCCAGGUUCACUCCAUCUCUGUGCCAAUGCGGUUCCUUCGGGGAGUGGGUAUGACAGCGGAGCAGUGGCGUGUGGGACAGCACAGAGUGGUUCUGACGCACACUCCAUGGACACCAGCUUCUACCGCCCACACUUCUUUCGCUAUGGUGCAUCCAAAGGGCAGGAAUGGGGCAGCGGAGAAAUCAGCAGAGGCCUAUCUCAGAGCGUGUCAGCUCAAGGUCUGGAAUCCUCCGGGUCUGGUCUGGAGAAACUUGUUUAACCUGUUAUUUUUUUAAAAAAAAAAUUAAUAAUUUUUUGAAUAGGUAACAUAUUCACAGGGUUCAAAAAUACAUCAAAAAGGCACAUUGUGAAAGCACGCUCCUCUUCCAUAUUUACCCACCUCCUCCACAAGCUUCUUCCCCGCGGCCCCAGGAAAUAUCUGAUUAAUUGUUCAUGGGCUCCUGGUAUUUUUGAAUGCACAUAAAAGGAGAUAAAAAUCG